rnacentral:rRNA from 1 species
GAUGAACGCUGGCGGCGUGCCUAAUACAUGCAAGUCGAGCGAACAGAUGAUGAGCUUGCUCCUCUGACGUUAGCGGCGGACGGGUGAGUAACACGUGGAUAACCUACCUAUAAGACUGGGAUAACUUCGGGAAACCGGAGCUAAUACCGGAUAAUAUAUUGAACCGCAUGGUUCAAUAGUAAAAGACGGUUUUGCUGUCACUUAUAGAUGGAUCCGCGCCGCAUUAGCUAGUUGGUAAGGUAACGGCUUACCAAGGCAACGAUGCGUAGCCGACCUGAGAGGGUGAUCGGCCACCUUAGAACUUGGACAGGGUCCAGACUCCUACGGGAGGCAGCAGUAGGGAAUCUUACGCAAUGGGCGAAAGCCUGACGGAGCAACGCCGCGUGAGUGAUGAAGGUCUUCGGAUCGUAAAACUCUGUUAUCAGGGAAGAACAAAUGUGUAAGUAACUAUGCACGUCUUGACGGUACCUAAUCAGAAAGCCACGGCUAACUACGUG